CCUACGGGUCGCAGCAGUGAGGAAUCUUGGUCAAUGGACGAGAGUCUGAACCAGCCAAGUAGCGUGAAGGAUGACUGCCCUAUGGGUUGUAAACUUCUUUUUUAUGGGAGUAAAAUGUUCCACGUGUGGGAUUUUGUAUGUACCCUAUGAAUAAGGAUCGGCUAACUCCGUGCCAGCAGCCGCGGUAAUCCGGUGGCGCCGAGCGUUAUCCGGAUUUAUUGGGUUUAAAGGGAGCGUAGGUGGAUUGUUAAGUCAGUUGUGAAAGUUUGCGGCUAAACCGGAAAAUUGCAGUUGAAACGGGCAGUCUUGAGUACAGUAGAGGUGGGUGGAAUUCGUGGUGUAGCGGUGAAAUGCUGAGAUAUCACGAAGAACACCGAUUGCGAAGGCAGUUCACUGGACUGUAACUGACACUGAGGCUCGAAAGUGUGGGUAUCGAACAGGAUUAGAUACCCUGGUAGUC
rnacentral:rRNA from 1 species